rnacentral:rRNA from 1 species
GACGAACCGUGCAAACGUUAUUCGGAAUCACUGGGCAUAAAGGGCGCGUAGGCGGCUCCAAAAGUCAGGGGUGAAAUCCGGCAGCUUAACUGUCGCAGUGCCUUUGAUACUGUGGAGCUCGAGGGAGGUAGGGGUCUGUGGAACUUCCGGUGGAGCGGUGAAAUGCGUUGAUAUCGGAAGGAACGCCGGUGGCGAAAGCGACGGACUGGAUCUCUUCUGACGCUGAGGCGCGAAAGCCAGGGGAGCAAACGGG